UACAGAGGUCUCAAGCGUUGUUCGGAUUCAUUGGGCGUAAAGGGUGUGUAGGUGGCGCCGUAAGUCGGGUGUGAAAUUUCGGAGCUUAACUCCGAAGCUGCAUUCGAUACUGCGGUGCUUGAGGACUGGAGAGGAGACUGGAAUUCAUGGUGUAGCAGUGAAAUGCGUAGAGAUCAUGAGGAAGACCAGUGGCGAAGGCGGGUCUCUGGACAGUUCCUGACACUGAGGAGCGAAAGCGUGGGGAGCGAACAGG
rnacentral:rRNA from 1 species